AUUGAACGCUGGCGGCAGGCCUAACACAUGCAAGUCGAACGAGUGGCGGACGGGUGAGUAAUGUCUGGGAAACUGCCCGAUGGAGGGGGAUAACUACUGGAAACAGUAGCUAAUACCGCAUACCAUCGGAUGUGCCCCGCUGGGAUUAGCUAGUAGGUGGGGUAACGGCUCACCGAGGCGACGAUCCCUAGCUGGUCUGAGAGGAUGAACAGCCACACUGGAACUGAGAAACGGGCCAGACUCCUACGGGAGUCAGAAGUGGGGAAUAUUGCAAAAUGGGCGCAAGCCUGAUGCAGCCAUGCCGCGUGUAUGAAGAAGGCCUUCGGGUUGUAAAGUACUUUAAGCGAGGAGGCGUUACUCGCAGAAGAAGCACCGGCUAACUCCGUGCCAGCAGCAGCGGUAAUUC
rnacentral:rRNA from 1 species